rfam:Ictidomys tridecemlineatus contig074433, whole genome shotgun sequence.
UGGGUUGUGGCUCAGCGGUAGAGCACUCACCUAGCACAUGUGAAGCCCUGAGUUCAAUCCUCAGCACCAUAU